rnacentral:rRNA from 1 species
CCGUAACUAUAACGGUCCUAAGGUAGCGAAAUUCCUUGUCGGGUAAGUUCCGACCCGCACGAAUGGCGUAACGACUUGGGCACUGUCUCAACAAGGGACCCGGCGAAAUUGUAGUAUGUGUGAAGAUGCACAUUACCCGCGAUAGGACGGAAAGACCCCGUAGAGCUUUACUGUAGCCUGGUAUUGGAUUUUGGUAACGUAUGUACAGAAUAGGUGGGAGACGGAGAAGCGAGGACGCCAGUUCUCGUGGAGUCGCCUUUGGGAUACCACUCUUAUGUUACCGGGGUUCUAACGAGCGGCCGUGAACCGGCGUUCAGACAGUGCCAGGUGGGCAGUUUGACUGGGGCGGUCGCCUCCGAAAGAGUAACGGAGGCGUCCAAAGGUUCCCUCAGAAUGGUUGGAAACCAUUCGAAGAGUGCAAAGGCAGAAGGGAGCUUGACUGCGACACCGACGGGUGGAGCAGGUACGAAAGUAGGACUUAGUGAUCCGGUGGUAUAAAGUGGGAUUGCCAUCGCUCAACGGAUAAAAGCUACCCUGGGGAUAACAGGCUUAUCACUCCCAAGAGUUCACAUCGACGGAGUGGUUUGGCACCUCGAUGUCGGCUCAUCGCAUCCUGGGGCUGUAGCAGGUCCCAAGGGUUGGGCUGUUCGCCCAUUAAAGCGGUACGCGAGCUGGGUUCAGAACGUCGUGAGACAGUUCGGUCCCUAUCUGUCGUGGGCGCAGGAUAUUUGAAAGGCGCUGUCCCUAGUACGAGAGGACCGGGAUGGACGCACCUCUGGUGCACCAGUUGUCACGCCAGUGGCACAGCUGGGCAGCUAUGUGCGGAACGGAUAAACGCUGAAAGCAUCUAAGCGUGAAGCCGACUCCAAGAUUAGAUAUCCCAUUGCAUAAGCAAGUAAGACCCCUUGAGGACUACGAGGUUGAUAGGCUGCGUGUGUAAGUGUCGUGAGGCAUUUAGCUUGGCAGUACUAAUAGGUCGAGGGCUUGACCAC